UCAGCUCUCUUUGCCUUUUGGCUUAGAUCAAGCGCAGUGUCUGUUCUUUUUAGUUUAAUCUCUAGAACGCCCCUACGGGGGCAAAUCUUUUGAUUAAACUAGUUUUUGGAAACCGGCUGGUGGCCGCUGGGCUCCGCCUAUGUCACUGGUCACAGUGUCGCUCCUAUUGCACUGCCUGGGGCUGACGCGACCUUCU
rnacentral:snRNA from 1 species